UACGUAGGGGGCAAGCGUUGUCCGGAUUUAUUGGGCGUAAAGAGCGUGUAGGCGGCCAGGCAGGUCCGCUGUGAAAACUCGAGGCUCAACCUCGAGAGGUCGGUGGAAACCGUCUGGCUAGAGUCCGGAAGAGGAGAGUGGAAUUCCCGGUGUAGCGGUGAAAUGCGCAGAUAUCGGGAAGAACACCCGUGGCGAAGGCGGCUCUCUGGGACGGUACUGACGCUGAGGCGCGAAAGCGUGGGGAGCGAACAGG
rnacentral:rRNA from 1 species